rnacentral:rRNA from 1 species
GGUUAAGUGACUAAGCGUACACGGUGGAUGCCUGGGCAGUCAGAGGCGAUGAAGGACGUACUAACUUGCGAUAAGCGCAGAUAAGGCAGUAAGAGCCGUUUGAGUCUGCGAUUUCCGAAUGGGGAAACCCAACUGCAUAAGCAGUUACUGUUAACUGAAUACAUAGGUUAACAGAGCAAACCGGGGGAACUGAAACAUCUAAGUACCCCGAGGAGAAGAAAUCAACCGAGAUUCCGGUAGUAGCGGCGAGCGAACCUGGAUUAGCCCUUAAGCACUCGGUGAAGUAGGUGAACAAGCUGGAAAGCUUGGCGAUACAGGGUGAUAGCCCCGUAACCGACGCUUCAUCGAGCGUGAAAUCGAGUAGGGCGGGACACGUGAUAUCCUGUCUGAAUAUGGGGGGACCAUC